UACGAAGGGGGCUAGCGUUGCUCGGAAUCACUGGGCGUAAAGCGCACGUAGGCGGAUUGCUAAGUCAGGGGUGAAAUCCUGGAGCUCAACUCCAGAACUGCCUUUGAUACUGGCGAUCUCGAGUCCGGGAGAGGUGAGUGGAACUGCGAGUGUAGAGGUGAAAUUCGUAGAUAUUCGCAAGAACACCAGUGGCGAAGGCGGGUCUCUGGACAGUUCCUGACGCUGAGGCACGAAGGUCAGGGGAGCAAACGGG
rnacentral:rRNA from 1 species